GUAUGUACAUUCCUUCAGCAUAGCAUUAAUGCACCAGAUCCCAUUAGAACUUUGCAGUUAAGCGCGCUCAGGCUAAAGUAGUACUAGGAUGGGUGACUACCUGGGAAGUCCUAGUAUUUAACAUGCC
rfam:Picea glauca, whole genome shotgun sequence.